AAGUACAUUGUAGCUCGGGACAAAAUCAAUAUAGACAAAGAAUUUCAUCCAUUAAAGGCAAAUUCUUCUCCCUUGGUAAGACGAAAAGAGAGGAUGUGAGGUUCACAAAUGGAGAAAGAAAAGCCAUCAGAUGAUUGUAACUAACAUCGACACUUCUGUACAGUAAUGACUUGAGCACCAAAGUCAGCAGUAUCUCAGAGUAUACUGUAAUCAUCAUCCUCACUCAUGCCAAUAUAACACAUUAUGGCCAGUACAAGUACGAAAAAAGAUGAAAGCUCCAUUGCCAGUGCUCCCCAUCCAAUAACCCCUGCAUGCUUUAAGAUAACUGGUAUUGCAAUGCUUCCAACCGCAGAAGCUCCAGUCAAGAACUUGGUUGCGUUGACC
rnacentral:lncRNA from 1 species